rnacentral:tRNA from 1 species
AAGAAGAACGUUAGGGCUGCUAACCCUAACCCCUGAACGUAACAACACAGACUUCUU